rnacentral:rRNA from 1 species
GACAGAGGGGGCAAGCGUUGCUCGGAAUUACUGGGCGUAAAGGGCGCGUAGGCGGGAUGGCAAGUCGGUCGUGAAAUCUCUGAGCUUAACUCAGAACGGCCAAGUGAUACUGCAGUGCUAGAGUGCAGGAGGGGCAAUCGGAAUUCUUGGUGUAGCGGUGAAAUGCGUAGAUAUCAAGAGGAACACCUGAGGUGAAGACGGGUUGCUAGGCUGACACUGACGCUGAGGCGCGAAAGCCAGGGGAGCAAACGGG